GGGGANGUAGCUCAGUGGUAGAGCGUCCGCUUCGCAUGCGGAAGGCCCGGGGUUCGAUACCCCGCAUCUCCA
rnacentral:tRNA from 1 species